UUUUAACCAUUAGUGAAUACGAACCUAAUAUAUAGAUGGAUCUUUUGGACGACACGAUUGUUGCACCAACGAUAGAAACUUGAGUUGAAUCCACCAGUUUCUUCAAUGUUAGAGUGGGAUGGGAAGGUGAUGAAGAUCAGCCACAAUAAAGUCACUUCUUUGUGCACUAAAUGCAAGUGACUGGCAAGAUUGUCCUAGGAGUGGACAUGUUGAACUGACUUUGGAAUUGGAAUAGAGAACUUCGGAUCUGCCCAAAUAUCUCUAAGGAUCACUGCCUUUUGCCUUGAUUUUGAUUUCAUUUUGUUGAAAACAAAAAGCCUGUAAGAGUUUUCAAUCAAGGAUCUAAACCAAUGAAAUAAUUGUAGUCACUUGUAUUUAAUUUGUUUAGAUCCUUGAUUGAAAACUCUUACAUGUGGUAUCAGAGCCACCAAUUAAAUCUUGAACGGUGCCGUUUGUCUUUUGGGUAUAAAAGAUUGAAACUUUUUCCGCUGCGUUCUUCUUCAUUUCUGCUUCGAACAUGGUGACUACUCAAAGUUUCAUUUCUAACUCUUUGUUCAUGUAAAGUUGCUAGAAGUUGAUUUGCUUUCUUUAUUACGAUUGUUGCUAUAAAAAUCUUGAUUCAUCAAACUUCUCCAAAGUUGAUUCGAAUCGAGGUCUCAAUAUUUUGAAUCUCAUCAAUAUUGAGAAAUUGAAUGAGAACAACUUCAAAACAUGAAAGCAACAAAUUGACAUGAAUCUAGGACUUUUGGAUUUUGCCAUUGCUUUCAAGCAGCCUAAGCCACAUGCCUUGCCUACCAAGAUUACAAAAGAAAAUAAAUAUGCAUUUGAAAAAUGGGAGAGAGCAAAUGAAAUGUCCCUGCUUAUUAUGCAAAAUGCUAUGGAGGAACAUAUUAAAGGAGGCAUACCUUCAUGUGAUUUGGCUAAGGAUCAUUUGACAGCUAUUGAGGAAAAA